rfam:Exiguobacterium sp. AT1b, complete genome.
CAAACACCUACGAUAAAGAAGAGUACGGUCAACCCACCAGCAAAGAGAGCGAUGCCUAGGCUGAAAGCAUCGACUGGAUGAUGACCCGAACGACACUUUGGAGGUGCUCCCUUGAAACCGAGUAGGGGGAGCCGUCUCAUCGGGCGUUAACCGAUUUCGAGUGGCAGAGUUUCAAGUAAUGGCUCUGCAACGAGGGUGGUACCACGGGAAACUUACACAGGCUCUCGUCCCUUUG